GACGAACGCUGGCGGCGUGCUUAACACAUGCAAGUCGAACGGAAAGGCCCUGCUUUUGUGGGGUGCUCGAGUGGCGAACGGGUGAGUAACACGUGAGUAACCUGCCCUUGACUUUGGGAUAACUUCAGGAAACUGGGGCUAAUACCGGAUAGGAGCUCCUGCUGCAUGGUGGGGGUUGGAAAGUUUCGGCGGUUGGGGAUGGACUCGCGGCUUAUCAGCUUGUUGGUGGGGUAGUCGUUUACCAAGGCUUUGACGGGUAGCCGGCCUGAGAGGGUGGACGGGCUCAAGAGGACUGCGAGACGGACCAGACGCGUACGGGAGGCAGCAGGGGAGAACAUGGCACAAUGGGCGGGAGCCUGAGGCAGCAACGCCGCGUGCGGGAUGACGGCCUAUGGGUGGAAAACCGCUGUCGCCUGUGACGAAGCGGGAGUGACGGUAAUGGGUAAGGAAGCACCGGCUAACUACGUG
rnacentral:rRNA from 1 species